UGCUCAGUGAAGCUGCAGCGGGAAAAAUCGAAAAUAACUUGCAAGUUUGAUGAUAUUAUGAAUAUCAGUGAUGAAUGACACAAGUACAUGUGAAUAAUUAACUAAAGUGUGAACAAUUGACAUUUAGAUACAACCCGUUUAUUAAUAAGGCAGCAAGAAAAAUGACUCCAUUGGGUUCGUAUUGCUCAGAUAUCUUCAGAAACAGCAAUGAAGGCUGACACGGCGGGCGGCGCAGUUUAUCGCUAACUCCACAUCUUACCCCGGCCGUGUGGCGUUUGCACCUGCGUUUUCCACUCACAUCGUAAAGACGUGGUUGACCUCCCGGGGCUCCGGCUGGGUGUGUUCUACAGGACCCUCGCAUUCCAUGUCUUUCACUUGGUAGACUCCGGUUUACCAUCCUGAUUGGGUUACUUGGCUUCCAUAAAACGGGUGGAUGUCAGUAAGAACAGAUGUACACCGACCGAAUAUUUAAGUGAUGGGAACUCUUUUCAUUAUGCAUGCUAUCUUUAAGUUUCUGAAAGUUAUAUACAUUUAAUUAAUCAAUGGACGACACAGAUGAUGGUAGGAAAAUAUCUAAGUUACCUGAUAAAUUUUCCGUUUCACAGAAGUAUCCAAUAACAUGACGUUCGUUCGUUAGUGCGGCGGGAAUCCCGCGGAGAUGAAACGCAAGGUAGGGCUGAGCCGAGCCGAACCAUACGACACCAGACCAGUAUGAGCAGGACUCACCCACACGGAGCCAAUCACAUCGCCUUGAAGAAUCGGAGAAAACGACCAGGCAUUAGAUUUAUAAAAACGUGUACACGUUGGGAUUUAGAAAAGAAAACGUGACGGGAGAACGAAUGCAUAUCUAUGGCAACCCUGACUCGGGCAACGUUUUUGGAGACAGUGGGAAAUGAGGACUCCCUUGACCAAGUAGGGAAAUGCUGCCUAGCCAGCUAAAGAACGACUCGUCGCAUACAUAGACUGCAGCGAGCUCAGGGUCCGAACACGCUCUAAAGGUGACCUCGGAAUGUCCAAGGGGCAGGAGUUACCUGGAGGAGAAGCCGGCUAUAAGGCAGCCCGUGAGCAGCAGUUUAUAUCCACUACCUGUUGUCGCAUCUCAAGUAAACUGUGCUGGAAGCCAUGAACCAUCCGUGUAUACAUAUUUUCAUGUUCAAAUCCAGGCAAUGUCUUACAUUUGAGACCCCUGGCCCUUGCAGAUGUAAGCUCAUUCCCACAAGGACCCCACCCAACACCUGCCUUGCUCCGAUCAGGAUGACUUCAAAGUCUGCUACAAAGAUGACCGAGAGGUGGGAUAUCCCGUUGCAAACCCUGCUUCCAGCUGUUACCAGUCUGCGGUGAACCUUUGGAGGGCCAAGCACCGAUGCAGGUCCCGGGAAUACUUCAUGACCACAGCUUUGAUGUUAUUGAGGAUGUGAAAGAAUUCCAGUGCAAAGGUGAUGAGCUGGUGAGGGGCCGACCCAUUCACAUUGAGGUCUUGCUGUAUGACGUUACUGGUCGGUCUUCUCCCUUUUUGGUGGCCUGCUUCUCUUCUUAAAUCAUCGAGACAUGCACCCUGGGAAGCCUGGGACUCAGACAUUCUAUCAGUUGUUGUUGGUAUAGCCAUUCUCCAUCAGGUAGGUGGUCGUCCUUCUUGCUAUUACAGACAAGAAAACUCAAUUUUCUUGGAGAUACAAAGGUGGAAAAACUAUGAGGAAUUACUUGAGGAGCUUCUGUCUUCCUCCCUAACACCUGAAUGUAACAUCUCUUUAAAACUCCGUUUCCUUCACUCUCAUUUGGAUUCCACCACCAAGAGGACAUGGGAAUGAUCGAUGAUGAACACAUGGAGAGGUUCCACCAGGAUAUCGCUCAGAUGGAGAGGCGUUCUGGUGGAAAGCAUGAGAAGACAUCUGUUGGUCAUUACGCUGUGAAACACUUCCAGAGGGUUAUAUGACAGAACUACCAGGUGACUUCCUUUUGUGAGCAGUAAUUACAUUUAAAGCAAUUGUGUCAUUUUUUUUCAAGUUUAAAUAAUUUUUAAAAAUAACCUUUUUCCCUCUCUAAUUUUUUUUUAUUAUAAACCUUCAUCCCUCAAAAACUGGAUGUGAUAGUGCAAUGUUUAGAUUCACCCUUCAAAUCUAGAAAGAACACCUAACAUUGUCAGCAGGAGUGAAAUGAAUAUUUAUUUUUUUUAUUAGAUGAUUCAACUAACAACUUAUGUAUGGUGGUGGGAAAUCGUGACCCAUUAUGAGAGGGUGUGAUUAGUUCUAAAAAUGUAUCUGCUCCUUUUAUCUUUGUACGGACAGUUCUUUCUUAGAGAGUAUUAAAUGAAUUGGAAAGGACACAGCGCACCCCUGUGGUAAUGCGGUGAAUAGCCCGUAAGCGGACCGUUUAACAACUGGAUUUGACUUUCUGAACCAACUUGAUGAUUCAAGACGGAGCAGGACGAGUGGCCACUGCAGCCCACAGUCAUCGACUGCGCCCUAUGGAGGAAUA